rnacentral:lncRNA from 10 species
GUCGCCCUAAGGGCCGCAGCGUGCACCUGCGGAGCUACCCACCCCAACUCCCUGCUCCUGUCGGAGCGCUCGGAAGCUCUCCCUAACCUGGGGUCCUCGAGGUCAGCCGGGGCGCUGAGAGCUGCAGGUGCACCCCUCCUCCAGUUCUGUCCAGGCUGCGUGGGCUAAGCCGGGGGGCGCAAGGAUGGGAAUUGGGGAAUGACUUCCACCCUCUCCUGGCUAGUUCCAGGACCAGGCCAGGUGGCUUUAAGAUUGACUGAGAGUCAGACUUGAACUGGAGCAGGAAGGAGAAUCUCAGCUCUAGCUUGAUAUGAUCACCCAGAGACACUCCCUUCCCACAAUUCUGCUCAACACAAAAUAUACUCAUGAAACAUUGGUGUCUACAGUACAGAAGGAAAUGCAGUGUCUGUCUUCAAAGAAUGAAAGGUCUAGCAGGGAAUUCCAGAUGAAUACUGAUAAAAACAUUACUUGAGGCCAGA